GGCGCGCGGGCGAGUGCGGUCCCGGGCCCUUCUCGCUCUCCUCGGCCCCGCCCACCCCUUCCGUCGCGCCCGGGCCGCAGUCCCUGCCGACGUCACUGACCCGCUGGCGCGCCGCUGGCCCGGGGCGCCCUGAGGCUCGCGAUGCCGGGAGCUCCGCUGCCGGGUUCGAGUCGCAUCCGUUUCCGGAUCCGAGGCCAUCCCGGUCCGGCCUUCCGGCCUGCGGUCUCUUCACGGGGUCCCGCCCCGACCCGCGCCGUGUCAGGUCCCCACUCGCAACGUGCGCUCACGCCCUCUGCACCCCUCGGGCCGCCCGGGACUCCGCAGACCUGUCUUCUCCAGAAGCGGCCCGGCCCCGGCGCUCGCUCCGCUCCGCGGUCACCGCCUCACACACCUGUCCCAGGGAGAUGUUGGUGUUCAUGGAUUUGUAAAGAAUUGACUUGUCUGCAGAUACUGAGUGUUCCUCCUCUUUGGAUUCUGCAUCCAUUCCAUCCAUUCCAUUCCAUCGCUCAGUCGUGUCUGACUCUUUGCGACCCCGUGGACUGUAGCCUACCAGGCUUCUCUGUCCAUGGGAUUCUCCAGGCAAGAAUAUUGGAGUGGGUUACUGUUUCCUUCUCCAGGGUAUCUUCCGACCCAGGGAUCGAACCUGGGUCUCCCGCAUUGGAGGCAGAUGCUUUAACCUCUGAGCCACCAGGGAAGCCCUAUGACUUUUAAAUUUGAGUUGCACCAAAUUUCUGCAGUCACAGAUGUUUUUGUUACCAUGUCCUCUAGUCUAAGAAUUUGGUUUGACAGACUUUGUUCAUGUCACAUUUAUGUCCUCAAGAAGUUUUAAAAUUUCUUUGCAUGGGUUUGCAAAUUUAUUUGAAGUUAGAGUCAUAAUAUUUUGCUGUUAUACAUAGAGACUGGCUUUCAUGUGUUUACUUGGUUUUUAAACUAUUGUUACUAAAUAGGAAACAUUGAUUUCAGUACAUUAAGUUUGGAUUUGUCCACUUUAAAAAAUAUUAUUAGGUAGGAAGGAUUGGGGGUGGGAGGAGACGGGGACGACAGAGAAUGAGAUGGCUGGAUGGCAUCACCGACUCGAUGGACAUGAGUUUGAGUGAACUCCAGGAGUUGGUGAUGGACAGGAAGGCCUGGCGUGCUGUGAUUCAUGGGGUCACAAAGAGUCGGACACGACUGAGAGACUGAACUGAACUGAACUGAUGAUAGUUAAAAUGGAAUUUUUUUUUUUAGUUUGAAAUCAUAUCUUCCAAAAAUCAUUACAGUUUCAGCUCUUUGAUACCAUUUUUGAAUUUCAUCUUUUUUCUCUUUUCUGGGUUCUGACUCAAGCACCUGCACUGAUUUCUAGGAUAUUUCCUACUUCUGUUUCGGCACAGCCAAAAAAAACAAAAUCCUAUUUAGAGACAGAAAGUAGAAUGGUGGUUUCCAGGCAUUGGGAGGAGAGGGGAAUGGGGAGUGGUUGUUUAGUGGGUACAGAGUUUCAUUUUUACAAGAUGAAGAGCGUUGAAGAUGGUUGCACAACACUAUGAAUGUAUUUGACACCACUGAACUAUACACUUAAAAAUGGCUAAGAUGAUAAAUGCUAUGUGUAUGUUUUAUUUUACAAUUUAAAAAAGUAAACAAAUUCUGUGGACAAUAAAAAUCAAUCCUG
ensembl:lncRNA